rnacentral:rRNA from 1 species
AGAGUUUGAUCAUGGCUCAGAACGAACGCUGGCGGCGUGGAUAAGACAUGCAAGUCGAACGGGACAACAUCUGUAGCAAUACAGGUGUUGUUUAGUGGCGAACGGGUGCGUAACACGUGGGAAAUCUGCCGAGAAGUGGGGGAUAGCUCGCCGAAAGGCGAAUUAAUACCGCAUGUGAUCAGAGAGGACAUCCUCUCGAACUUAAAGCCGGGGCAACCUGGCGCUUCUUGAUGAUCCCGCGGCCUAUCAGCUAGUUGGUGAGGUAACGGCUCACCAAGGCUAUGACGGGUAGCUGGUCUGAGAGGACGACCAGCCACACUGGAACUGAGACACGGUCCAGACACCUACGGGUGGCAGCAGUCGAGAAUUUUUCACAAUGGGGGCAACCCUGAUGGAGCGACGCCGCGUGGAGGAUGAAGGCUUUCGGGUUGUAAACUCCUGUCAUUUGGGAACAAGGUGCAUCGGUUAACUGCCGAUACAUUGAUAGUACCAGAAGAGGAAGAGACGGCUAACUCUGUGCCAGCAGCCGCGGUAAUACAGAGGUCUCAAGCGUUGUUCGGAUUCAUUGGGCGUAAAGGGUGCGUAGGUGGCGCUGUAAGUCAGAUGUGAAAUUUCGGAGCUCAACUCCGAAACUGCAUUUGAUACUGCGGUGCUUGA